rnacentral:rRNA from 1 species
UACGGAGGGUGCAAGCGGUCUCCGGAAUCACUGGGUUUAAAGGGUGCGUAGGCGGUUCGAUAAGUUAGAGGUGAAAGCUAGCAGCUUAAAUGUUAAAUUGCCUUUGAUACUGUUGGACUUGAAUCAGGUUGAGGUAGGCGGAAUGUGACAUGUAGCGGUGAAAUGCAUAGAUAUGUCAUAGAACACCAAUUGCGUAGGCAGCUUGCUGGGCUUGAAUUGACGCUGAGGCACGAAAGCGUGGGGAUCAAACAGG